rnacentral:tRNA from 1 species
GAAGGAAACCGCGGCGGACCAAGUAAGGGGCUAUAGCUCAGUUGGUAGAGCGCCUGCAUGGCAUGCAGGAGGU